rnacentral:hammerhead_ribozyme from 1 species
AUCUAUCUGACGAGUCCUAAAUAGAACGAUACGCGCAUCCUGGGU